CCCUUAGAUGUUCUGGGCUGCACGCGCGCUACACUGAAGCUAUCAACACGUUUUCCCUCCCUGAGAAGGGCGGGUAACCUUUUGAAUCAGCUUCGUGGUAGGGAUCGGGGCUUGCAAUUGUUCCCCGUGAACCAGGAAUUCCUAGUAGACGCGAGUCAUAAGCUCGCAUCCAUUAAGUCCCUGCCCUUUGUACACACCGCCCGUCGCUACUACCGAUUGAACGUUUUAGUGAGGCAUUUGGACCGACGCAUCUCAGUUUAACCGCUGGUUUGUGUUGGAAAGACUUCCAAACUUGAGCGUUUAGAGGAAGUAAAAGUCGUAACA
rnacentral:rRNA from 1 species